rnacentral:rRNA from 1 species
UACGUAGGGGGCAAGCGUUGUCCGGAUUUAUUGGGCGUAAAGAGCGUGUAGGCGGCCAGGUAGGUCUGCUGUGAAAACUUGAGGCUUAACCUCGAGCUGUCGGCGGAAACCAUCUGGCUAGAGUCCGGAAGAGGAGAAUGGAAUUCCCGGUGUAGCGGUGAAAUGCGCAGAUAUCGGGAAGAACACCCGUGGCGAAGGCGGUUCUCUGGGACGGUACUGACGCUGAGACGCGAAAGCGUGGGGAGCGAACAGG